CAGCCCUCCUCCCAGCCAGCGUCCAGUCCAUUCGGCACCGCUGACCCGAUGUCACCUUGGGUUAAAUGGCUAAAUCUUGAUUGGAAUGAGUGAACUUUGUGUCGCCUGUUAGCUAGCCAGUAUCUGGUUGGCUAACCUGUAUCUGGUCGUCGGUCAGUCCGUUCACCACAUCGUCCACCGGGAUGGACGCUCCGGCGCAUCCUCUCCUCGCCACCGCGGGGACGGACAACCUGGAGACGAGGCGGAGAGCGUUCCUAACCGCAAACAUGGUGUUUUCUUGGAGACGGAUAGAAAAGUUGUCUGACUGCGGGCUAGCUGUCUCUUUAGCAGAGAGAAGCUUGCAGACACGCUGCAAAGACGAUGUCCAGUCAAUGUCACCGUCUCGUCCUGGAGCCAACACCUCAACUCCUGCAGGUUGACCUGCAGAAAGUCUGUGAAGAUCAGUCUUCUGAAAUGAACACAGCCACUCAGCACCUGGUAAAGGGUGGGACCUGAACUGAUGUCCACCAGCAGCUCACCACUCACAUUACCUGGGAGAAAUGGAAAAGAGGAAGAGGAGGAGGAGGUGAGACUGACAAAAUCCACAGGUGAUUGCAGCUCAGGAAAAAUUUACUCACAUAACAGAAAUAUUUCGAUGACCGAAGUGACCUACUGCUCAUGUCAGCAGUAUCAACCUGCAUGACGGAAGUGUAAUGUAAUGUAUAAUUGAUGGCAGCAGUUAAUUCAGAAAAGUGCAAAUGUUUCAACUCAAAACUUCUUUAAUCACAAAGAAUGGAUUAUGAUUUUCAAUUAUUUUCCUUUCUGAGCAUCCUCUUAAAGGCAUGAAACACAUGAAAAUCUAAGUGUGUUUUAUGUACAAAUGAAGCCUUUUGGAACAUUUAGAGAUUAAUAAGAAAAUCACAUACUGACACAUUUUGUUAUUACAAACAAAUAAGUUUAUUGCAUUCUUUAGAUGCCCCUAUGGUAGAUAAACUAUGAUAAAGUGCCCUCUAGGGUGCCCUUCAGUGGAGAAAACGUGAUGCAGUGCUAUUCCAAUGGAGAAAAUGAGAUAAAGAGCCCUCUAUUGACAUUAAGACACAAUAUUUGCACUGACAAAAAAUAGAUCAUAGAUAUUUCUACAUAUUUGAAACAUUCUUGGAAAGAAGUUUGCACCUUAACCUUUUUCACAGCAGCCAUUUGAAACAGUCGGUUCAACACAGGUGUUACCAUAAUACUAAUUAAGGCUCUAUUCCAUUUAGUGUAUCAGAGCCUUUCCAGUGAGCCAGCAUGCAGAGUAGCAGCACUCUGUUUGACAUGAAUGUAAGAGAGCCUUAAUUGAUAUUAUUUUUAACUGUUUUUACCCUACUAUUUCAUGUCAGAAUGUCUGCUGUGAAAAAAAGUCUAUUGUCUCACCUAAAGUAAAAGCUCUGUUCGGACAGAUGCUUUCUGUUUAGAGUUGUCAAAGUCGGCCCUUUGUGGAGUGGAGUUGUACUGCAGGUAGGCCACAGGGUUAAAGCCCUGGUAGCAGGCGGACAUCAUUGUCACUCUGUCUUCUCACCCUUCAUCACUUUUGGCCUGUGUAUCCCAAACCUCAGCCCACCUUCAGUGUGCACACUUCUAAAUAAACCCUGACCCCUCUCAGACUUCAGCUGAUCCACACACCUGCUUGGCUCAUUUAAUCCCAUGAUGUGAUACAGGAUUCUGCAGCAAGUACCUACUGUACUUAAUGCUCACUCCUUGAGAUGUGACACCAUAUAGGCCUGUGGAUGUAAUCUGGUCAAAACAAAUAAUUUUAACCAUGCCCCCACUUAUAUAUCAGUCAUGAAAGGAACGUUGACAUACAUAUAAUGUUAAAAAUGUAUUUAUUCCAUAGUCGCUGAGUCACUACAAUGACUGGAACUGUGUUUUAACUGUGUUUUAACACGCAAUUAAUCAUCCAGUUUCACACCAUAUUUCCUCUCAGCGCUGACUGUUUUUCUCGUCAAGAGCUGUGCGACAAAAAAAAAAAAAAAAAAAGAAAAACCGCACAGGAGCGUCACCUCCUGGAUAAUAAUGACAUGAUAAUAAAGAGAACUUCAAAGUUGAAUGCUAUAAACUUCCUCUCGUGCCGCCAGAUUUCAAUAACUAGGCUACUAAAUGUACAAAUAUUUUAAUUUUAAAUUAUGCAAACUGCCAGCACUGAGUUUAAUAAAGAUGUAGUAAUGAUGUAGUUUUUAAUCCUAUAACAGAAAUGUCCUACUACCAGGUGUGCAUGCUUUUUUUCCUACACCUAGUUUUUUAUUUUGAAAUGACACCAAUUCAUGUAAUUAAAUUACAGUUUAAGGAUUUGAAUUGAAGCUUUAAAGCAGGUUAAAGCAGAUAAUGUUUAUCAGCAGACAUAUUCAAAGCAGCUAAUAAAAUGUGAACUUUUUCUA